GACGAACGCUGGCGGCGUGCUUAACACAUGCAAGUCGAACGGAAAGGCCCUGCUUUUGUGGGGUGCUCGAGUGGCGAACGGGUGAGUAACACGUGAGUAACCUGCCCUUGACUUUGGGAUAACUUCAGGAAACUGGGGCUAAUACCGGAUAGGAGCUCCUGCUGCAUGGUGGGGGUUGGAAAGUUUCGGCGGUUGGGGAUGGACUCGCGGCUUAUCAGCUUGUUGGUGGGGUAGUGGCUUACCAAGGCUUUGACGGGUAGCCGGCCUGGGAGGGUGACCGGCCACAUUGGGACUGAGAUACGGCCCAGCCUCCUACGGGAGGCAGCAGUGGGGAAUAUUGCACAAUGGGCGGAAGCCUGAUGCAGCCACGCCGCGUGCGGGAUGACGGCCAUCGGGUUGUAAACUGCUUUCGCCUGUGACGAAGCGUGAGUGACGGUAAUGGGUAAAGAAGCACCGGCUAACUACGUG
rnacentral:rRNA from 1 species